CAAAGACUCAUAACGCAGUCAUGUGGAUGAGGUUCACUGAGGAUUGGGAAGCUGCAUCCCUGGCAUGAAGAUAUUUGGUUACCUGUUAUCAGCAUCACCAGCACAUUGGUACACUAGAAAUCCUGAAUCCUCUUCUGCAUCACAUCACAGCUUUUGCACAAGGACUCCAAAAGGCUGGGGGCCAACAGGCUGGUGGCUGAAACACUUUUGGCUGCAGAGAAGGGAUUAAACUUGGACUCCAUUAAGUGACUUUAGCUGGAAGGUCAGAAGGUGCCACGGUGUACAGCUGAGAUAAGGGAAAAAAGAAGACCUCCAAGAAAGGAAUUCAGUGAAAGGAGUAAAUCUUAGCUUUCUGACUCCUAACCUGUUUUCAUCCAGACAUCCAUACCCUGCUGCUGCAGAACUGGCAAGUAUCACUCCGGAUCACACAAUGCUCACCUUAACAUUCAUUACCAUGCUUGUAAGGUUUUCUUGCAAUUUAUUUGACAGCAAAGGAGCCAUGAGAUCAGCUGUAGCUGAAAGUGUGAAAAGUAAGGAAAAGGGACUGUUUUAACACUGUAUUUUCCACUAUUAUGAGCCAGUUUUGCAGAAAAGAACUUUGUUUUGCUUGUGAAUACCUUUUUUCCAUGUAUCCAAUAAACAGAUUAUGAGACUGGAUCUUAGGCAACAAAAAUAACAAAUUCUUUGGUUUCUCAGAAGAAAAAUAACUAUAAAAAUUCACUUUGGGUCUACCUUAAAAGCAGGGGGGGAAAAAAAGUGUUUAUUGGUUCUUUUACUCUAAAUCUACCUUUUGUGUAGAUGGUGGGGGUGGUAAGUUCAGUUCAAAUGUUUGCUGCAGAUAUUUUGAUGGUAGAAACAGAGUUCAUUUGUUUUCUUGGCACUGGUAAAUUAAAGCUUUAUUUUUUAUGUGUUUUAAAUCUGAAAUGUGUAAUAAAUAUUGACUAGGUCUAGCUUUCCUAAAUGUUAAGCAUUGCAUUUGUUUAAGGCAGAGAAAUAUGCCAGAAAACUCUGCUGCAUUCUGCCUCGGGGAAUGUGCUGGUGUUUAGUUUAUGUCUCAGUUUGUGCAAAUCUAUAGUUUUUCAUCUAUACAAAACCAGUAUUUGCACUUUUUUUUCUUUCACCUACUUGAAAAGAGGGAUUGCUGCUGUCUAACACUGCUGUGGUGAAGAACUAUCUCAGUAUUUUAAAAUAACAUUUGCAAGCCAUAAAAGGGAUGGCCUGAGAUAUAAUUAUCGGAUCUAAUCUCUCAAGAUUCCUGGGAGGUCAGAUUCACACAUUAUUGAUUUGAUUGAUUCUUUUCCUGAAGUUGACAAUUUUACUUUCAAUAAGCUCACUCUCUUUGUGGUUUUGUAUUGUCAUUCUAAGAAAUAUUGAGAAUGAAGACAUUAUUGUCCAUUUCCAUUUCCUUGUUGAGAGGAGAAUUAAAGAGAAAGAAUGAAUAAAAUUUGGAAGAUAUUUCAGUUUUAUAGAAAUAA